CAAAGGUGAGCCAGUACAGGAUGGACCCGCGUCUGGUUAGCUAGUUGGUAAGGUAACGGCUUACCAAGGCGACGAUCAGUAGCCGACCUGAGAGGGUGAUCGGCCACAUUGGAACUGAGACACGGUCCAAACUCCUACGGGAGGCAGCAGUGGGGAAUAUUGCACAAUGGGCGAAAGCCUGAUGCAGCAACGCCGCGUGAGUGAUGAAGGCCUUCGGGUCGUAAAACUCUGUCCUCAAGGAAGAUAAUGACGGUACUUGAGGAGGAAGCCCCGGCUAACUACGUGCCAGCAGCCGCGGUAAUACGUAGGGGGCUAGCGUUAUCCGGAUUUACUGGGCGUAAAGGGUGCGUAGGCGGUCUUUCAAGUCAGGAGUGAAAGGCUACGGCUCAACCGUAGUAAGCUCUUGAAACUGGGAGACUUGAGUGCAGGAGAGGAGAGUGGAAUUCCUAGUGUAGCGGUGAAAUGCGUAGAUAUUAGGAGGAACACCAGUUGCGAAGGCGGCUCUCUGGACUGUAACUGACGCUGAGGCACGAAAGCGUGGGGAGCAAACAGGAUUAGAUACCCUGGUAGUCCACGCUGUAAACGAUGAGUACUAGGUGUCGGGGGUUACCCCCUUCG
rnacentral:rRNA from 1 species